UACGAAGGGAGCUAGCGUUGUUCGGAAUUACUGGGCGUAAAGGGCGCGUAGGCGGUGUGACAAGUCAGGUGUGAAAGCCCCGAGCUUAACUCGGGAACUGCGCUUGAGACUGUCAUUCUUGAAUUCGGUAGAGGUGAGUGGAAUUCCCAGUGUAGAGGUGAAAUUCGUAGAUAUUGGGAAGAACACCAGUGGCGAAGGCGGCUCACUGGACCGACAUUGACGCUGAGGCGCGAAAGCGUGGGGAUCAAAC
rnacentral:rRNA from 1 species